GCAAUGGUUUGGAACACAAUCAACCUAAUUUGUACGAACCAUUACUAAACUAAAGAUAUAGUGUGCUACAUUAUUCUCUUUGCAAGGAGUAAAAUGAUAUGAUUCACACUAAAUUUUAUUCAUAGAGGUCACAAAGUUUAGCAAACUAGACCCUACGAUGCAAGUGAAAAUUCAAAGUACACAUCAUGGACUAAUUGCUUUGCAUUACACUCCACCAACAACAUAGCCUGAAUGCUAUUAUGUUAAAGAGACUUGCAUGGAGCCAUGGCCUCGGUAACUAGAAGAGAGGAGCGAAGCCCCUUGCCAAAUGUGAACCAUGGCUGCAACCACCUUCCCCUGUGAUCCUUUGUCAUAGCUCCAAAUUCAACAUAGUUAUUCCACACAACUACAUCUAUAUUUAGUUUAAAAAUCGUCCACAUUCGAGCACUAUCAAUCAAUCAUCCUCGCCCUACCUGAUCGAUGCGCAUUGUCUCCCACCUUUUUGUCCUUAUAUGAUAAAAGUAGGAGCUAUCUCCCUUUCAACUUCCACUUCCACUCCCACUCCCACUUCUCUUUACUUUCCAACAUACACCAGCACCACAUUUCUCCCCCACCAUGACACCAGUAGUAAACCACUUGUUAACUCGAUCACUCCCACCAUACCAUAGUAACCAUAUUCAGGAGAGUAUAUCACCUAUACUAUCGGUUACAUGCUUGAACAAACCCCACAGCCCAACUUAGGAGCCUUUGCUCUUUUUGAAAUAUAGUACUACUAUUUUAUUUUUAUAUGAGAUGCCACCAUUUUUUUUCCACCUAAUUGGUAAUUUGGAUCUAGUGCUGGAGUAAAGGAAUCAAGAGCCUAUGCAUAGACA
rnacentral:lncRNA from 1 species